UACCAGCUCUUCGAGUGGUGUGGAUGUUUAUUGGGCCUAAAGCAUCCGUAGCUGGCUGGGCAAGUCCCCUGUUAAAUCCACCGAUUUAAUCGUUGGAGUGCGGGGGAUACUGUUCGGCUAGGGGACGGGAGAGGCAGACGGUAUUUUCGGGGUAGGGGUGAAAUCCUAUAAUCCCGAGAAGACCACCAGUGGCGAAGGCUGUCUGCUAGAACGCGCCCGACGGUGAGGGAUGAAAGCUGGGGGAGCGAACCGGAUUAGAUACCCGGGUAGUCCCAGCUGUAAACGAUGCAGGCUAGGUGUUUGGACGGCCACGUGCCGUUCUAGUGCCGCAGGGAAGCCGUUAAGCCUGCCGCCUGGGGAGUACGGCCGCAAGGCUGAAACUUAAGGAAUUGGCGGGGGAGCACCACAAGGGGUGAAGCUUGCGGUUU
rnacentral:rRNA from 1 species